GCGCGAAUGGUCUAGUUGGUUAUGACGCAUCCUUAACAUAUUCAAGAUUCUGCUCACCCAGAUCUUGAACAGUUAAUUCGGAUGAGGUGCUGGGUUCGAUCCCCAGUUUGCGUA